rnacentral:rRNA from 1 species
UACGGAGGAUGCAAGCGUUAUCCGGAAUGAUUGGGCGUAAAGCGUCCGCAGGUGGUUAUCCAAGUCUGCUGUUAAAGCGCGAGGCUUAACUUCGUACAGGCAGUGGAAACUGGGUGACUGGAGUAUGGUAGGGGUAGCGGGAAUUCCCAGUGUAGCGGUGAAAUGCGUAGAUAUUGGGAAGAACACCAGCGGCGAAAGCGCGCUACUGGGCCAUUACUGACACUCAUGGACGAAAGCUAGGGGAGCGAAAGGG